rnacentral:misc_RNA from 1 species
ACAGAGGAGGAAGUCAGGAGUAAAUUUUCACCAUCAGCCAAGAUAUUUUUUUCAGCGGUGACAGUUUUAACGCUUUUUCCAUUUCAGGAUUUUAACAUAAUUGCUGAAAGGGAACUAGACCAUAAGCGAUGGCUUCUCCAGGAUUGUUUGACGCAUUCCGAUCCAAUGGCGCCCCGACCUACUAUGAAUCCAAUAAGACGCCAUUUAUGGCGGAUAUAUUGGAAUCUGGACUCAUUUACGCUUUUGUCAUCCUAGCUUUUUCGUUUUUCAUUAUUCUUCCUGGAAUUCGUGGAAAAGAGAGAAUUUUUACGUUUAUUCGGGUAACAGUGACACUCUACAUCGGCGGGGUCAUAAUGUUAUGUAAUUAUGGUUUCUGGGAGCAAUCUUCUUCCAAGGGUGUAAGAACCAAGUAUAAAGCGGGUUCUGCAGGGGAGAUAACCGCUGACAUUGAGGUGUUGAUGAGUCUCCGGGGAAUUAACGUCACGCUGAAAGCCGAGGGAGAAGACCGAGGGCCUUUUAACGAGACCAUCAACUACAACGAAAACUUCGACUGGCGAUGGGAGCAGGGACGGUUAGGGUUUGGAAUAUUCGCUGGACGUUUUAACCAGGAGUUCCGGGCCGCCCAGUUUCGAGGUACCCCUCUACCCAUCAUCUGGAUCGCGGAGUAUUUCACUUUUGAUGGAGAAGGAAUCAGAUGGGGUCGCCACUACCGACAGGCCGGCUGGUAUGCCCAUAUCAUGAUGUGAUGUCACAAAAGUCUAAAAUUGAAGAGAUUCAUUCUUACCCUACAAAAUCUCUAAAAUACAAGAGCCUCAUGGCGGCCCCUGACCCCCUGCAUACAACUGGUGCCACCUCUCACUUCAAAUCGUGGAUCCGCCCCUAGAAACAAUACCCAUUUUUCAUCAUGUUGGCUCUACCGCUGUGGAUUAUAACAGUCAUCCUGUUCUUCAUUCUGCUCAAGUACGGGGCCUACUUUCUGAUGCUGACCGGGGCUACCAUGGUGGGUGCCAACAUCGCCUGGGCCAGUCUAAGGAACGUCAACGAACUCAUCAUUCCGUUCAGCGCCGAACAUAAACUCGAGUUCCAUUUUGGACCGUGUUUUUAUGUCAAUCUUGUAACAGGAAUACUGUGCGUCGUCUUGGGUGCUGUGAUCUUGGUCCUAGAUCUACGCUAUCCCGAGGCGGUAACAUCCUUCUUCGGGGUGGAUCCUCUACAAGCCGAAACUUUCAUAGAAGGUAUUUCAUCCAGAGCCGCCAAAGGAGACUCAUUCUAUGAAGCGCAAGUCACGUGGUCUGACGCAACGUCUGCAGAGGCCCAGGCGCCGUGCAGCCCCGCCAGUACCGGACCAAGUGGAUGAAAUGGACGAUCUCUAUGACAACACAAGGAGUGAUAAGGUGCAGUUUGGCAGGAACUAUAACCCAUAGUGAGAACAGGAUAUCAACACACGGGGGACAACGUGGAAAAAUUAGGAAGGAUGAUUCAGCAUAAAUUUACUGAGAGUUACUAAAGAGGAUGUACAUGUAUAUGAUGCGUUAUUUCAAUCAAUCGCGUGACAUGACAAGAGUGAACAUUGAAAUGAUGGAACAUUAAUUUAGAUAUUUACUGGAUAUCUUAUAAAUUGCAAUGUAAAUUAUGAAAACCUUGUAUAAU